CAGCCCCGGAGCAGCUAUAGAGAAGGCCUGCCUCCGAGUUGCCACCAGACGAGCUGGUGGUAACUGGAUGUGAUACUCCUCAGAUGACCUUAAUGUGCGGUGGGGAUCACGCAGAAGAAGGCGCUCUCUAAGGACUGACAAACAUAUGAAUGAUAUUGAAAAGUCAUUUGGACAGUAGAAUUUCCUAAUUAGCCAUCAAGCAAAAUGGAUGAAGCCUAAUCAAAUCUGCUUAUGAGAAUAUUAAUUGCUUUAAAGAAAGGACAACUGCUUUGGGAUGGGACAGACUGGAGAAGCAGUGGACAAGGCAAAUGUUUUACCCGACUGAUACUAUCUUGCACAGAUUUGUGGAUAUCUAGAAGAAACCUGGUGUGUGUGUGUGUGUGUGUGUGUGUGUGUGUGUGUGUGUGUGUGUGUGUGUUUAGUUAUGGCAACAAAACAGUGGUCAACACCCAACUAAUGAAAUGGUUGUUAUGGGGGAGACCUGUUUUUGUUGAUCUUCUCUUGCCUUUGAAGCUGGCUGUGACUCCCAAAAAUAUCCCCUGAGGGUCAUGCCUCUGAAGAUCAUAUUUUUGGAAGUCACAGUAGCACCAUUUAUACCACCAGAACUUUAUUAGUCUGGAUGUUGACCAGUGUCUCCUUAGAUCCAGUGAAAAGUACAGAUCUAACAUGCAACAUGUUGUACUCUAUACCCCCAAACUCCAAAAAGAAUGGUUUCAAAAAAAUUUAAGCCUUGGUCAUUUUGAAGAUUUUGAAAAGUUUUCCAUGGUUUGAAAAACAGAGUUAGAUCUAGUUCUGAAUCAAGAAUGCAUGGGAGUUUAAUCAGGAAUUAAUUUGCUGAAAUCUUUGAAGAAGAAAACAUAGGCCAGUAUGUUUGCAGUGAUGUAGCUACUUGCUCUGUAGUGGGCAGCGGCAUAAGGUGACAGAUUAAACUGGUUAGGCAUCAGAACGUUUUCUGCUAUGUGGCUCAAAAACAAUAAUUUUGCGUUGCUCCACACAAUUGUAUCUGACCUACUUCCUUUCUUAGUGUUAACGUGUAACUACUUUUUGUACUACAGCAAAAACAAAAUAUUAAUAAUGCCUGUUUAGACAAUUGUUACACUAACGCAAGAGUUGAUUAAAUUAAAAUAUAAUAUUCUGCACUUCUGUUCUAAAUUGUUGCCCAGCAUAAUAACAA